UACGUAGGUGGCAAGCGUUGUCCGGAUUUACUGGGCGUAAAGAGCGCGCAGGCGGUCGUACAAGUCGCGUGUGAAAGCCCCCGGCUCAACUGGGGAGGGUCACUCGAUACUGAUCGACUUGAAGGCAGGAGAGGGAAGCGGAAUUCCCGGUGUAGUGGUGAAAUGCGUAGAUAUCGGGAGGAACACCAGUGGCGAAGGCGGCUUCCUGGCCUGUUCUUGACGCUGAGGCGCGAAAGCUAGGGGAGCGAACGGG
rnacentral:rRNA from 1 species